GACGAACGCUGGCGGCGUGCUUAACACAUGCAAGUCGAACGGAAAGGCCCUGCUUUUGUGGGGUGCUCGAGUGGCGAACGGGUGAGUAACACGUUAGUAACCUGCCCUUGACUUUGGGAUAACUUCAUGAAACUGGUGCUAAUACCGGAUAGGAGCUCCUGCUGCAUGGUGGGGGUGGGAAAGUUUCGGCGGUUGGGGAUGGACUCGCGGCUUAUCAUCUUGUUGGUGGGGUAGUGGCUUACCAAGGCUUUGACGGGUAGCCGGCCUGAGAGGGUGACCGGCCAAAUUGGGACUGAGAUAAGGCCCAGACUCCUACGGGAGGCAGGAGUGGGGAAUAUUGCACAAUGGGCGGAAGCCUGAUGCAGCAACGCCGCGUGCGGGAUGACGGCCUUCGGGUUGUAAACCGCUUUCGCCUGUGACGAAGCGUGAGUGACGGUAAUGGGUAAAGAAGCACCGGCUAACUACGUG
rnacentral:rRNA from 1 species